UGGUAUUCCAAUCAAAAAUCAUCUAACACAAUGUUCGACGGAUUGAGUAAAAAUCCCCAAUGACGCAAGCUUAACGUAAGCAUUUGGUCUCGAAUACAACAGAUGGCGCCAUUGCUAAUUCAUGAAUGGCAAUAUCCUGAAUGGCUGAAAUGUCAUUCAAGAAAUAAACUAUCACGAGGAGAAACGGUUUCAGACGCUUGCCUGCAUCGAUUUGCAACCCUUUGCCUUGAGCACACAGCACGGAUUAAUGCCCUGUAAACGGAUAAAGAGAAGAUGCCCGAAGUGUAAGUGGUUCUGUAUAUUCUGCGGUUUCCGUGGUUUCAGCAUGAAUUUACAUUUCGCGCAGGCUUUGGCGAUUGAUCAUCCCUUAUGCAGUGUCUGCUUAGCUAGUAGAUAUGGAAGUGCUUUGCUAUUGCUGCCAGCGUAAAACACCAGAUCGGUGCCUCCCGCAAUCUUUCCACCGCUUUAUUGUACGAAUUCCUUGCAAAUUACUUAUUAAAAUUUUUGUUGUGCGCUUCGGGCGGUAUGUGGCAGACGAAUUCAACAAAUAACAGCGGGUCUGUUGCUGGAAGCAAUUUGCAGAACGAUUCCAAGGUGAUCGUAGCAUCAACGUCCAACACUAAUUUUUCAGCAACCGCAGCAGACACUGGUUCAACCGUUGUGACUUCACCAUCUAGCACUCCCACCCAAGCCACCUACUAUCUUAUAUACCACAAUGGAUUUCAACUAAGUAUUCCACCGAAUACAGUGCCACCACCAUUUACACCUGCGCAUUUUAACAGUACGACCAACUCUGGCACAUCCCCUUCGUCGGGACAAGUUACACAGUCUGCAGUUGGCGGAGCUUAUAGUUUGCUUGCGAACACAUCAAUAACUGCUGCUGCAGCUGUAGGUACAAGAACAACAGCAGGAAAUACUUCAACAGCAACAACAACGAAGAGGGCGGCAACGAAUAAGU
rnacentral:lncRNA from 1 species